AGCAAAGUGAUGAGCUAAUGGGUCUGAAUUUUAUGUGGAAUCACAUAAAACAAUAGUCUUCGAAGUUCUCUGAUUGCU
rnacentral:snoRNA from 1 species